ensembl:lncRNA
AGUUCUCAAAAAUGGGAUAUGCCAUUUUAUUAAGUACACUACCCAGUUCACAAAAAUGGGAUAUGCCAUUUUAUUAAGUACACUACCCAGUUCUCAAAAAUGGGAUAUGCCAUUUUAUUAAGUACACUACCCAGUUCUCAAAAAUGGAUGACUUCUACAGACACGGAGUCACAUGGCUGUGGCUUGUUAUAUAAAACAGACAUUCAGUUACUGUUCAAUCGAAUGUUAGAAUAAAACAAGUGACUUUAAGCGAAGUAUGAUCAUCGGUGCCAUGCCCCGGGUCCAGUAUCUCAGAAACGGCCGCCCUCCUGGGCUUUUCACGCACAACAGUGUCUAAGGUUUACAGAGAAUGGUGGGAGAAACAAAUAACAUCCAGUCAGCAGCAGCCCUGCGGGUGAAAACAGCUCGUUUGAUGAGAGGUCGAAGGAGAAGGGCAAGAAUCGUGCAAGCCAACAGGUGGGUCAGAAAACAAACUCGUCGAUCCUUGUCACGGAUGGGCUAUUGCAGCAGACCACCACACCAGGUUCCAUUCCUAUCAGCUAAAAACAGGAAGUGGCUCAGGUGGGUACGUGUUAACCAACACUGAACAACCGAGGAGUGGAAAAACAUCCCCUGGAAUAUGUCAGCGAGUUCAGUUUACUUGAGUGGCCUGCGCAGUCCCCAGACCUCAACCCAUUAGAGCAUAUUUGAGAUGAGAUGGAUGUUCGCAGCAUGAAUGUACUGCCGUCCAAUCUGCAGAAACUGCAUGGCGCCAUCGCAUUAGCAUGAACCAACAUCACUGUGGAAUCUUUGACACCUUGUAGAAUCCCCUGAAGAAUUCAGGCUGUUCUGGAGACAAAAGGUCGGUCCAACCGGCACUAGAUGGGAGUACACAUACGUGGGUAUUGUCUUGCAUGUAUAGUGUCAUACACAGACAAAAACAGACUACGCUCUCAGAAUAGAGAUGUGAUGACAGAACUGCUGCACAGGACAAAUGACAAGGAAACAAAUGGCAAGGAAACGAAUGACAAGGAAACAAAUGACAAGGAAACAAAUGGCAAGGAAACAAAUGACAAGGAAACAAAUGACAAGGAAACAAAUGACAAGGAAACAAAUGACAAGGAAACAAAUGACAAGGAAACAAAUGACAAGGAAACAAAUGACAAGGAAACAAAUGACAAGGAAACAAAUGAA